AGAAAAAGAACAGUUAUCGAUCGAUGUAAUACAAAUAAUUUUAUAGCAUCAGGCGGCACCUUAGUUUGUGGAGAAGCCAUUUCUGUUGGAUGCACUGAAGCACUGAAUAGACAUUCAUCUUUUGGAACAUUUAAUGAAAGAAUCAGUGUCUGUGUCCGCUCCGAUGGAAUCCUUGGUUCAGUAUGGAAAUAAAAAUUUACAAAGACCGUGUACCUCGAGAGUGUGAAAAUGAUUCUGUCAGUUUCUAAAUCCACACUAAGAGAAAGACAGUGUCUUGCUGAAUUUGUUAAUGCAUUAUCUAUGCAUUGUAUUCAUAGAGUGGGAAAAUGGUUCAAUAUUGAAAAAGAACGUUGUGGAGCAGCGACAUGACAUGACUGAUACGGUAAUCUGUGAAUGCAGCAUCAGUGAAGUUGUUACCAGACUCUAUUUAGAAUAAGAUACCUGUAGAGAAGAGGAUUUGGUUUCAGUCUGGCUGAGGUUUGAAAUUAUUUAUUAUUAUUUUAACUUAUCAGGGUUGUUUUCUACCAAUCCCAGCAGUCCUUGGGUGAGGGCACCAUAGACGAAAUACCGGUUGUUCAAAUAAUACUUUUGGACUAUGGUAGAAAACCCGUGAAAAAGCCAUGUUCGUAAAACAAGCCAAUUCAAACUCAAUGCCCAAACACCAGGAACUGAACCAAUGGGCAUUAGGAAUGUCUCAAUUACUCGAUAAUACAAUUGAUUGCGCUACUAAGCACUACGAUUCAUUUAUCUUAACGUUUCCUGAAUAUCGUCAGAAAGUAAUAUGGCGGAACUAUAGUUAAGAGCAUUUCAAACGGAAAGAAAGCAAAGUUACACAACGUUUUCGCGCUUUGUUUUCCGUCCCUUCAAAUCGCAGAGGAGAGGCCUAGCCAAGAUGGGAACAUGGCAAGAGAAGAAUUAUUCCCACCGAACAAGUAUUAAAUCAGACGUAUGAAAUUAUUUCGACUACGGAGAAGAUGACCAGGGUGUUGUCGGGGAUGGCGGCUUGUCAGCAUUUAAAGGACGCCGUAAAAUUGCAGUGAAAGGAGGAAACGCAUCCGACAUGUUUCAUCACCGGCGGGACAACCACCAUGUUUGUUCGUCACCGUAAAGGUUCCCUGUGAACAACGCUGUCCUUCAACAGGUCAUUGUCGAAUGGUGCUGAUUGAGGGGAAACGUUGCGGUCACAGCGGCAGGCGUUGAACUGCUGACCUGUGUCCUUCGCACCGCGGAGGAGAUAGAAGCUUUCACGGCCGACUCUGAAAUAAACGCCAGCCCCGUUGCCCACAGUUCAUGGACUGCUGCACAUGAACCACAAAGACUGUUGUCCACCUAAAGCAACAGUUUAAUCAGCAAACACACAUUGAACAAGCAGGGUCAGGAGCACCGAAGACGGUGUCAAGGCUCAUCACGUCCAAGAGUUAUGAGUUACAAGUCCUCACCUCCAACCUUAAUGUAAGUGGACCUGGAAGGAGUACAGAACAGGCGGUGAGGGCUGCAGUCUGAACCCGAGAGAGUUACUACUGUUCUGGUAAGUAUAACAUAUUGUUUGCCAAAUUGAUUGAAAUACUCGUUCAUUCUCAGGGGACGUGUGACGACUGAAAUACUUUGUAAUAUUUACAGAUAAUUAUUAUAUAGUUCCUAUAUUCAGUUUGACUUGA